rnacentral:rRNA from 1 species
CUGCUGCCUCCCGUAGGAGUCUGGGCCGUGUCUCAGUCCCAAUGUGGCCGUUCAACCUCUCAGUCCGGCUACUGAUCGUCGACUUGGUGGGCCGUUACCUCACCAACUAUCUAAUCAGACGCGAGCCCAUCUUUCAGCGGAUUUCUCCUUUGAUAACAGAAUCAUGCGGUUCCGUUAUUUUAUGCGGUAUUAGCAGUCGUUUCCAACUGUUGUCCCCCUCUGAAGGGCAGGUUGCUCACGUGUUACUCACCCGUCCG